UACGUAGGGUCCGAGCGUUGUCCGGAAUUAUUGGGCGUAAAGAGCUCGUAGGCGGUUUGUCGCGUCUGCUGUGAAAUCCCGAGGCUCAACCUCGGGCCUGCAGUGGGUACGGGCAGACUGGAGUGCGGUAGGGGAGAAUGGAAUUCCUGAUGUAGCGGUGGAAUGCGCAGAUAUCAGGAGGAACACCGAUGGCGAAGGCAGUUCUCUGGGCCGUAACUGACGCUGAGGAGCGAAAGCGUGGGGAGCGAACAGG
rnacentral:rRNA from 1 species